UACGUAGGGUCCGAGCGUUGUCCGGAAUUACUGGGCGUAAAGAGCUCGUAGGUGGUUUGGCGCGUUGUUCGUGAAAACUCACAGCUCAACUGUGGGCGUGCGGGCGAUACGGGCAGACUAGAGUACUACAGGGGAGACUGGAAUUCCUGGUGUAGCGGUGGAAUGCGCAGAUAUCAGGAGGAACACCGGUGGCGAAGGCGGGUCUCUGGGCAGUAACUGACGCUGAGGAGCGAAAGCGUGGGGAGCGAACAGG
rnacentral:rRNA from 1 species